rnacentral:rRNA from 1 species
UACGUAGGGUGCAAGCGUUGUCCGGAAUUAUUGGGCGUAAAGAGCUCGUAGGCGGUGUGUCGCGUCUGCUGUGAAAACUCAGGGCUCAACUCUGAGCUUGCAGUGGGUACGGGCACACUUGAGUGCUGUAGGGGAGACUGGAAUCCUGGUGUAGCGGUGGAAUGCGCAGGUAUCAGGAGGAACACCAAUGGCGAAGGCAGAUCUCUGGGCCGUAACUGACGCUGAGGAGCGAAAGCAUGGGGAGCGAACAG